CUUCCGUAGGUGAACCUGCGGAGGGAUCAUUACAGAGUUGCAAAACUCCCUAAACCAUUGUGAACGUUACCUUCAAACCGUUGCUUCGGCGGGCGGCCCGGGUCCGCCCGGUGCCCCCUGGCCCCCUAGCGGGGCGCCCGCCGGAGGAAAACCCAACUCUUGAUUAUUAUGGCCUCUCUGAGUCUUCUGUACUGAAUAAGUCAAAACUUUCAACAACGGAUCUCUUGGUUCUGGCAUCGAUGAAGAACGCAGCGAAAUGCGAUAAGUAAUGUGAAUUGCAGAAUUCAGUGAAUCAUCGAAUCUUUGAACGCACAUUGCGCCCGCCAGUAUUCUGGCGGGCAUGCCUGUUCGAGCGUCAUUUCAACCAUCAAGCCCCGCGCUUGUGUUGGGGACCUGCGGCUGCCGCAGGCCCUGAAAACCAGUGGCGGGCUCGCUGUCACACCGGGCGUAGUAGAUUUUAUCUCGCUCAGGGCGUGCUGCGGGUUCCGGCCGUUAAAAAGCCUUUUUUACCCAAGGUUGACCUCGGAUCAGGUAGGAAUACCCGCUGAACUUAAGCAUAUCAAUA
rnacentral:rRNA from 1 species